UACGUAGGUGGCAAGCGUUGUCCGGAGUUAUUGGGCGUAAAGCGCGCGCAGGCGGUCCUUUAAGUCUGAUGUGAAAGCCCACGGCUUAACCGUGGAGGGUCAUUGGAAACUGGGGGACUUGAGUGCAGAAGAGGAAAGUGGAAUUCCACGUGUAGCGGUGAAAUGCGUAGAGAUGUGGAGGAACACCAGUGGCGAAGGCGACUUUCUGGUCUGUAACUGACGCUGAGGCGCGUAAGCGUGGGGAGCAAACAGG
rnacentral:rRNA from 1 species